rnacentral:rRNA from 1 species
AGCGAACGCUGGCGGCAGGCUUAACACAUGCAAGUCGAACGGUCCUUCGGGAUAGUGGCGGACGGGUGAGUAACACGUGGGAACGUACCCUUAGGUUCGGAACAACACAGGGAAACUUGUGCUAAUACCGGAUAGGCCCCUCGGGGGAAAGAUUUAUCGCCUUUGGAGCGGCCCGCGUCUGAUUAGCUUGUUGGUGAGGUAAUGGCUCACCAAGGCUACGAUCAGUAGCUGGUCCGAGAGGAUGGGCAGCCACACUGGGUCUGAGACACGGCCCAGACUCCUACGGGAGGCAGCAGUGGGGAAUCUUGCGCAAUGGGCGAAAGCUUGACGCAGCCAUGCCGCGUGGAUGAUGAAGGUCUUAGGAUUGUAAAAUCCUUUCACCGGGGACGAUAAUGACGGUACCCGGAGAAGAAGCCCCGGCUAACUUCGUGCCAGCCGCCGCAGUAA